CUAUUAUCAAUCGAGUAAAGUGUAAACAGACUCAUUUUUCUUUCUCUUCUUGUUUUCUUCUCUUCCCAGUUCUCACUUCUUAGUCUCUUUCGAGUCUCGAAUCUCGAUCAAUCACUCACUCACUAUUGAUAAAUCACUCACCCACUCAAUCAGAAUCAGCUUAGAAAGGAAUACAAGCAAGGGAAAAGCUUGUUCAUUGGCUCAAUUGAAUGUGGGUGUUGCUUGCUGCAUGAGAUAUGGAGAUCGAAGAAGACUGAAGACAAGAGAGUUGGAGACCGGAGAGGAGAGUGACUGAGUGACAGUACUUAUCAUACUUAGUGCUUCGAAGUUUCUUACUUUCUUUAGCAUUUGCUUGUGUUUCUUUUCAUGUAUGUGUGAAUGAGAGACUUCGAAGUAACUAUUUAAGAGUAAUGUUUUAACUUUUAAGACUGUUUGUGUAUGAGAAAUGAAACUUGAAUUUCACCUCUGAAACUUUACAGAUUAUUGA